UAAAUUCUCAUAUACCAAUCCAAUUCCAUGGUCUCUGAAGUUCAAAAGUUAAGUAUCAAUUACAGAUAAUCUGAACCCCUUGGAAUUACUGAGUCACACAAAGGAGGAUUACCCACUCAAAUGUUAUAGACAAUCUUUGGAUCAUCUACCCUCCUUCCAUGUGACAUACAAAAUAGAUACUAGGUCCAUUCUGUACUCUUGCAAACAUUUAGCAUUAUGCUCAGACUAUGUUCACUGUAAUACUUUUAGUUGUUCACAACAAACACUUCAUUCUACAUAUGCUUCUUGUUAAGGAGUAACAAUGUCAGUCGACUUUGGACAACUACAGCAUUGGCGAUGAAGUUGAAAAUUCAAUCUUGGUCAGAGGCAAAUAACCCUCAAGAUAUACCAAGGGGACUAAUUGCCAAGCUGUCAAACCAUAAAGCAACAACCUACCAACCAAACAUAGAAAAACAUUAAGAACACAUGACAUAAAUGCAGAACAACUGAGUGAUGCCCUUUACCAAAGCCACAAGAAAACAGCCAUUGAGCACCCAAAGGUAUCGAGGCUUAUCCCUGCAAGUGUAGAUUCACUAUUCAUCUCAACUCAAUGAGGGAAGAGCUUAAUCAACAAAAAGGAAGCUACCUAAAUCCUAGGCAAGAAGAACUUUGUGAUAAGUUUGAAAGGGACAUAUGCUAUGAGAUCAUGCAGCUAUCACUGCUUUCUCACAUCUACAACAAAAGUGUGCGCAGCAAGCAAGGAACUUGAAGUUUCGAUUUGUUCCUCCCAUGAAGUUUCGAUUUGGCCAAGGAACAUCACCCAUGUAUGGGGACUACGAGGCCCAGAGGCACUAGAUGGAGAUCACUCUCCACACGCCGAUCGUUGAGUGGUACCACAACACCGCAGCAAACAACCUCUCCUAUUGGGGCCUCUGCUACUCACCGCUUACCAGAGUUUCACCGUGCCUUCCUCAUCAACGCUUCCAUUCCUGAAUCCUUUGCCCUCUCUCCCUCCCGUGGAUUCGAGUCCCAUAAAUCGAAGCUGGCAAUGCGAUGGAUAGUGUUGUCUUCGACUCUUCGGACUUGCUUGUGCUUUUUCCAGCAGCCAUCUACUUUGUAUCAGUUUAUUUUUAGAGCAAUGUUGGCAAGGAUGCGAAGGAAUGGUCUUCCCCGUGGUUUCUAGCGAUGAUCUUACUGAAUCCUUGCCCGAUCCUCAUUGAUCAUGGACAUUUUCAGGAUGUUGUGCCUCCUUACUUGACUAGGUGCUAUUUACUUACGUCUAUACAUUGAGGUAGGCGUACAUCAUAUGGUCUUGACGUAGCUGAAGAUUCGGUUGGGUUCAUUCGAUUAGAAGUACUGGUUUGAUUGUUUUAUUUUCAAGUCUGGUUAUUAAUUGUAAAUAUUUUCUUCCUAGGGAGAUCAGUAAGUGUUCUUGUAUUAUUUGUUGAUUCAUUAAGUUUAAUUGCAUUCCUGAGUCUUCUUCUAAUUCUAUUUCAAGUGUAGAAGUGGGUUGAUAUCCAGAAAACCGGAUAGAAAGUUGGUUUUUACAGUCUUUAUACAUAAGAGAAGAAAUGAAUUUUAAAGUAGCAUCUGGAUUUUGUAAAUUAAUAGUCCAUUCAAGUCCAGCUAAAGUUUCAGAAUUAUAUUCUCUGGGUUUAAGAAAUGUAUUCCUUUGGUUGUUAAUGCUUCAAUCAUAUCUGUAACGGAUACUUUAAAGUGGUUAUGCAUGUGAUUCAUUGUUUUUUCGAAGAAUAUGAUAUCUAAUUGGAGAUUAUCUCCUUGGAAUUGGUCAUAACCUUUUGCCUACACAUGAAUUUGUAUAUGUUUUAUAAAGUCUCUUAUAGUCAUAUUAAAAUUGCGGCAUAAGUAAUUCCUAAGUUUGCAUUCAUCUCGACUUCUAGUAGUUCAAUGAUUGCUUUUUCAGUAUCAGAAAAAUGAGUGUCAUGUAAGACUAAUAACACUUUUCUUCCUACUUUGCCCUUGUUAAGCCUCGUAGACCAAACACAAUAAGUCCAAGAUGGAUGUAAUUAUGCUUUCUUAGGUAUAAAGUUUUUGCUGUCUCUUCUGUCAUUAGACCAAGUUUCACUUCUACCCCAUCAGGGACGUGAAGAGCUUCCUGUCUAUGAUAUUUAUAGACCGAUGUUGAAAAAUUUAGAAUACCUUGACUGUAAAGUUUCUUAGGAUUUAAAGUAUUUAGCUGUUCAUUUGAAAAAAUCGUAAGAUCUUUAUCAACGGCUAUUAUUUAUUCAAGUCGAAGAGGUCCUAAAGAAGAAGUGAUAUUUCUCUUGGUUAUAGAAUCUAUCCAGGAGGAGGAAGUAUUAACUUCCAUUAAUCUAAUAGCUCUGGAAGGUCCAAAGAAGGUUUCAGUUUUUGUCAGACUCAUUGGGUUUAUAUGUUAAGAAUUUAAAAGUGACAAGUGGAAGUUUAUGAAUAGUUUUACCAAGAGACAACUGACUUAAAUCUUUAUUUAGUUUAGCAAACGCUUCUUGAAAUUCACUAUAACGCCAAGUUGCUGAAGCGGACGUUUCCAUAUGUAACAAUGUAGUUUCAAUUACAAUAAAUCUGUAAUGUAAAGAAGUAAGAAGAGCAAUAAUGGUAUUAUUUUGUUGAACUUGUAUUUGAUCACCUUUUCCGGGUAGUUCUAAUUUACAGUUGUCGUCUUCUUUUGUUGUAGAGUACUGUUUAGUAUAUUCUACAGCAUCUUCAUAGUGGGAGUUUUCGUAUUUCAACUGGUUCAUUUAUAUUUAAGUUCAUCUAAUAAGUGCAGUAUGUUAUCUAAUUUGUUGUAUAAUUGAGUUUUAUUACUAACAAUAAGAUCUUUUGACUGCAGUAAAAGUUGUUGUGAGGAUGUUUCUGGUUCUACAAGCUUUUGAGAAGAAGGUUUUCUUGUUAAGAGAUUAAUAGAAGUUUUUACAUAAUCAAGAUUUCUUAGGAGUUCCGAUAAAAGUUGUUGUUGGAACAAAGUGGUUUUGAAAGUUUCUAAUUUAUUUGUUAGGGACUAACCAUGGCCUUCUAGAGAAAGUCCUUGACUAAGAAGGAAAUCAGUGAUAGAAUUUAAAUGUACUUGAUAUGAA